UGGGGAAUAUUGGACAAUGGGCGCAAGCCUGAUCCAGCCAUGCCGCGUGAGUGAUGAAGGCCUUAGGGUUGUAAAGCUCUUUCGCCGACGAAGAUAAUGACGGUAGUCGGAGAAGAAGCCCCGGCUAACUUCGUGCCAGCAGCCGCGGUAAUACGAAGGGGGCUAGCGUUGUUCGGAAUCACUGGGCGUAAAGCGCACGUAGGCGGAUUGUUAAGUCAGGGGUGAAAGCCUGGAGCUCAACUCCAGAACUGCCCUUGAUACUGGCAAUCUCGAGUCCGGAAGAGGUAAGUGGAACUGCGAGUGUAGAGGUGAAAAUUCGUAGAUAUUCGCAAGAACACCAGUGGCGAAGGCGGCUUACUGGUCCGGUACUGACGCUGAGGUGCGAAAAGCGUGGGGAGCAAAACAGGAUUAGAUACCCUGGUAGUCCACGCCGUAAAACGAUGGAGGCUAGCCGUUGGCGAGCAUGCUCGUCAGUGGCGCAGCUAACGCAUUAAGCCUCCCGCCUGGGGGAGUACGGUCGCAAGAUUAAAAACUCAAAUGAAUUGACGGGGGUCAUAGCUGUUUCCU
rnacentral:rRNA from 1 species